UACGUAGGUGGCAAGCGUUGUUCGGAAUUACUGGGCGUAAAGCGCACGUAGGCGGCUCGGUAAGUUAGAGGUGAAAGCCUGGGGCUCAACCCCAGAAUUGCCUUUAAGACUGCUGGGCUUGAACGUCGGAGAGGUGAGUGGAAUUCCGAGUGUAGAGGUGAAAUUCGUAGAUAUUCGGAAGAACACCAGUGGCGAAGGCGGCUCACUGGACGACUAUUGACGCUGAGGUGCGAAAGCGUGGGGAGCAAACAGG
rnacentral:rRNA from 1 species